rnacentral:rRNA from 1 species
UACAGAGACUGCAAGCGUUGUUCGGAAUUACUGGGCGUAAAGGGCGCGUAGGCGGCCACCGCAAGUCGAUUGUGAAAUCUCCGGGCUUAACCCGGAAAGGUCAACCGAUACUGCGGGGCUAGAGUGCAGAAGGGGCAACUGGAAUUCUCGGUGUAGCGGUGAAAUGCGUAGAUAUCGAGAGGAACACCUGCGGCGAAGGCGGGUUGCUGGGCUGACACUGACGCUGAAGUGCGAAAGCUAGGGGAGCGAACGGG